rnacentral:rRNA from 1 species
GAUCAUGGCUCAGGAUGAACGCUGGCGGCGUGCCUAACACAUGCAAGUCGAACGGACUUUUCAUGAAGCCUAGCGAUUGAAAAGUUAGUGGCGGACGGGUGAGUAACGCGUGGGUAACCUGCCUUGUACUGGGGACAACAGUUGGAAACGGCUGCUAAUACCGCAUAAGCGCACAGCUUCGCAUGAAGCAGUGUGAAAAACUCCGGUGGUACAAGAUGGACCCGCGUCUGAUUAGCUGGG